UACGUAGGGUGCAAGCGUUGUCCGGAAUUAUUGGGCGUAAAGAGCUCGUAGGCGGUUUGUCGCGUCGACUGUGAAAACCCGAGGCUUAACCUCGGGCCUGCAGUCGAUACGGGCAGACUAGAGUUCGGUAGGGGAGACUGGAAUUCCUGGUGUAGCGGUGAAAUGCGUAGAUAUCUGGAGGAACACCGGUGGCGAAGGCGGCAUCCUGGACCGGCAUUGACGCUGAGGCGCGAAAGCUAGGGGAGCAAACGGG
rnacentral:rRNA from 1 species